CAGAGUUGCAAAACUCCCAACCCUUUGUGAACGAACCUAACAGUUGCUUCGGCGGCAGACCCCUCUGGGGCCUAGCCUUUGCGGGUACCCCGCCGGAGUCCUACAAACUCUUGAUUAUUUUGGCAUCUCUGAGAUCCGUUGUUGAAAGUUUUAUUUUUCAUUUUGCCCUCGGCUUAUAUCUUCAACUCUUGUCUAACGAAUGUAAUUGCAUACGCCUUAACGGGCAAAAUGAAAAAUA
rnacentral:misc_RNA from 1 species